rnacentral:lncRNA from 1 species
GCGCCCGCAUGGGUAAUGUCUAUCGUAGCCACGUCGUCGUGCAGUGUGUUCUCACGAGUCACUCUCGGACUGCAUGCCCAGAAUAAUGAAAUGAGAAACGUACACAGCGGCGUGUACUGCAGAAUUGCAGAUGAGCGUCAACAAAAACACACUCCACCGUCGUCUAUUUACCGUCAGUGUGAAUUAUGUGUUAAGUAAAUCAAAGAUUAAAACAAUCGCUAGAAUAUAUAUUCACGCAUAAAUUGUCCUCGUCAUAUUCCCGUGUUAGACCGCUCUAAUUGUGUCCCGCGAGGAAAAAAAAUAUAGAACACAACGAAUGCACUAGUUGUAGAACAACUCUAAACGAAGAAGAAAAUAUGUAGUCGCUGUCAAAAAAAAAUGU